GUGAACGCUGGCGGCCGGCCUAACACAUGCAAGUCGAACGGCAGCACAAGAGAGCUUGCUCUCUGGGUGGUGAGUGGCGGACGGGUGAGGAAUGCAUCGGAAUCUGCCCAUUUGUGGGGGAUAACCUCGGGAAACCGGGACUAAUACCGCAUACGACCUACGGGUGAAAGCAGGGGAUCUUCGGACCUUGCGCAGAUGGAUGAGCCGAUGCCGGAUUAGCUAGUUGGAGGGGUAAAGGCCCACCAAGGCGACGAUCCGUAGCUGGUCUGAGAGGAUGAUCAGCCACACUGGGACUGAAACACGGCCCAGACUCCUACGGGAGGCAGCAGUGGGGAAUAUUGGACAAUGGGCGCAAGCCUGAUCCAGCCAUGCCGCGUGUGUGAAGAAGGCCUUCGGGUUGUAAAGCACUUUUGUUGGGAAAGAAAAGCAGCCGGUUAAUACCCGGUUGUCAUGACGGUACCCAAAGAAUAAGCACCGGCUAACUUCGUG
rnacentral:rRNA from 1 species